UUAUUUUGCCAGCUACUACGUUGGUACCUACCACAAUGUGAACAUUGUGAAGUGCGAACUACAGUCAUUUUGUCGUAAAAAUAAUACAGUGCCGUACGUUCGUCAGUUUAGGUACAAAGCGUUUGAUUAUACCUUUUUACUUAUCACGUAGGUACCUAUCACAGAAGAAUAGUGUUCCUUUAUUAUUAUCGUGCGUUUAACAAUAACGGAGUAAACUAAAUUAAGCACCUCGAUACUAUGUUGUUAUAUGAAUAUGUCAUAAACUCAACAAUUAAAGGCAUAUCUCGUGAAAAUAGGUGUACGAGGGGCGACAACAACGACUAAAAAGCGGCCACAGAAAUACACUUUCACGGUUCAUGAGAUACAGCCUGGUGACAGACCGACGGACGGACGUGCCGACAGCGGAGCCUUAGGGUCUUGUUUCGUACGGAACCCUAAAAAGGUCAGGUUACAGGUAGCUAAAAAAAACACCGGCCACCAAGCCUUUUAGAUUUACGGUUUGAAUUGAUAUUGGACCUUUUGUAUAACCAGACCACACAAUAGGUUAUUAAUUAUUAUGUGAUCGCCUAUCAGACAUCGGCUUUGAUCACAAUCUACUUUGGGACGACUGUACCUGCACGAACACUCAAUACCAAAACGUCCUAACUUCGAUCCACUGUGUCAUAAUAAGUGGAGUUAGGUGGAAUUCUAAGAAAUAUCUUUUUUAAAUACGUUAUUCUUGUCGUAUGCGGUUUAUCACUUGUUUUCACUUGGCAUAAUAUAUGCUUUCUACCACAGUUUAACUAGAAUAUCAUACGUAUAUUAUUAUAAUUAUAUUGAUAUAUUUUAAUUCAUUUUGAUUUUAUACAUAAAUAUCUUAGUAAUAUUUUAUUAUUUUAUUCACUUGAAUAUAUCUUAAUAACCCGUGGUGUUAUGCGAUGAAUAUUUUGAUUGUACAAGUUCAAAACUUAUAAUAUUCAACCUAAAAACUUACUCACGAAGUACUAUUUUGCAAGGCUCUUACGAAAUACAUUUACUAAUUCCUAAAU
rnacentral:lncRNA from 1 species